GAUGAACGCUGGCGGCGUGCUUAACACAUGCAAGUCGAACGGUGAAGGCGGAGCUUGCUCUGCUGGAUCAGUGGCGAACGGGUGAGUAACACGUGAGCAAUCUGCCCCUGACUCUGGGAUAUGCGCUGGAAACGGCGUCUAAUACUGGAUACGAGCUGCGAAGGCAUCUUCAGCAGCUGGAAAGAACUUCGGUCAGGGAUGAGCUCGCGGCCUAUCAGCUUGUUGGUGAGGUAACGGCUCACCAAGGCGUCGACGGGUAGCCGGCCUGAGAGGGUGACCGGCCACACUGGGACUGAGACACGGCCCAGACUCCUACGGGAGGCAGCAGUGGGGAAUAUUGCACAAUGGGCGAAAGCCUGAUGCAGCAACGCCGCGUGAGGGACGACGGCCUUCGGGUUGUAAACCUCUUUUAGCAGGGAAGAAGCGAAAGUGACGGUACCUGCAGAAAAAGCGCCGGCUAACUACGUG
rnacentral:rRNA from 1 species